UGAUUAGGUUUCAACAUUUGAAUUCAGGGGGAAUGGGGGAGAUACACAAACAUUCAAACCACAGCACUCAAUUAAUUAAUUAUGUCAAGUUAUCAUAGUUACUUGACUCAGGUGUUUUUGGGACUGCAGGCAGGGAGGAAGCAAGGCUUAGAAGAGUCAUCUACCACUCUCAAAAAUAAUACUGCUCGUCAGGAAGAGGAAAGUUCUUCUGGGAAGCAUCUGGCUAAUCUUUUUGGAAAGGUUCUGAGGAAAUUCUUAAAGAGGACCUAUUAUGCAAUCCUGGCUACAGUCAGUACCUACUAUUUUCAAUGGGGAUUUCUUUCCAUGGACACACGACUGACUCAGUUCUUAGGCAGAACUGGGGCUAACACAAACCAAAAUAGCAGCAGGCCUCAUCCCAAAGAAACUACAAUAUAAACUUAUGCCUUGAGAAUUAUUUUCCAGAUGCUGUAGACGUUCCUGUAAGGGUUCCUGUGGUUUCUAAUGUACAAAGAUGGACAAUUCCUCAGAUGGCCUCAGGAGACUGCUUUUCGAUCUGCACUGGGCAGAACCCUGGGAUUAAUUAACAAGGUUAAUAUAGGCACGGUCUCAAUAUUCACGUAUUAAAACCAGGUCACAGAGAAUGACUUGAUUAAGAUGACAGUCACCGGUGCAAUGAGGAGUAGAAUCAGUCGCAGUUUCACACCUGUCAGAAUUUCAGAAAAGUAGAAGGUACCAGACAUGUCAUGUCAGAAGAGCUCCCCUUCCUCCUCCUCCUCUUCAUCAGCCUACUCAACAUGAAGACCUUUCUGAUGAUCCACUUCCACUUACUGUAUAGUAAAUAUAUUUUCUCUUCCUUAAGAUUUUCUUAAUAACACUGUCCUUUCUCUUACUUCAUUGUACAAAUACAGUAUAUAAUACAUAUAACAUAC